GCUGGGCGUGGUGGCGGGUGCCUGUAAUCCCAGCUACUUGGGAGGCUGAGGCAGGAGAAUCACUUGAACCCAGGAGGCGGAGGUUGCAGUGAGUCAAGAUCACACCACUGUACUCCAGCCUGGGUGACAGAAUGAGACCCUGUCUCAA
ensembl:misc_RNA Metazoa_SRP Metazoan signal recognition particle RNA